UGGGGAAUAUUGCACAAUGGGCGCAAGCCUGAUGCAGCCAUGCCGCGUGUAUGAAGAAGGCCUUCGGGUUGUAAAGUACUUUCAGCGAGGAGGAAGGCGUUGUAGUUAAUAACUGCAGCGAUUGACGUUACUCGCAGAAGAAGCACCGGCUAACUCCGUGCCAGCAGCCGCGGUAAUACGGAGGGUGCAAGCGUUAAUCGGAAUUACUGGGCGUAAAGCGCACGCAGGCGGUCUGUCAAGUCGGAUGUGAAAUCCCCCGGGCUCAACCUGGGAACUGCAUUCGAAACUGGCAGGCUAGAGUCUUGUAGA
rnacentral:rRNA from 1 species